AUUGAACGCUGGCGGCAUGCUUUACACAUGCAAGUCGAACGGCAGCACGGGUGCUUGCACUUGGUGGCGAGUGGCGGACGGGUGAGUAAUGCAUCGGAACGUGUCCUGAAGUGGGGGGAUAACGCAUCGAAAGAUGUGCUAAUACCGCAUAUUCUCUGAGGAGGAAAGUAGGGGAUCGAAAGACCUUAUGCUUUUUGGAGCGGCCGAUGUCUGAUUAGCUAGUUGGUAGGGUAAUGGCUUACCAAGGCGACGAUCAGUAGUUGGUCUGAGAGGACGACCAGCCACACUGGGACUGAGACACGGCCCAGACUCCUACGGGAGGCAGCAGUGGGAAUUUUUGGGACAAUGGGCGCAAGCCUGAUCCAGCAAUGCCGCGUGAGUGAAGAAGG
rnacentral:rRNA from 1 species